CCUACGGGCGGCAGCAGUGGGGAAUAUUGCACAAUGGGGGAAACCCUGAUGCAGCGACGCCGCGUGAGUGAAGAAGUAUUUCGGUACGUAAAGCUCUAUCAGCAGGGAAGAAAAUGACGGUACCUGACUAAGAAGCCCCGGCUAACUACGUGCCAGCAGCCGCGGUAAUACGUAGGGGGCAAGCGUUAUCCGGAUUUACUGGGUGUAAAGGGAGCGUAGACGGCAGCGCAAGUCUGGAGUGAAAUCCCAUGGCUUAACCAUGGAACUGCUUUGGAAACUGUGCAGCUAGAGUGCAGGAGAGGUAAGCGGAAUUCCUAGUGUAGCGGUGAAAUGCGUAGAUAUUAGGAGGAACACCAGUGGCGAAGGCGGCUUACUGGACUGUAACUGACGUUGAGGCUCGUAAGCGUGGGGAGCAAACAGGAUUAGAUACCCCUGUAGUC
rnacentral:rRNA from 1 species